AUACGGAGGGUGCAAGCGUUGUCCGGAAUCAUUGGGUGUAAAGGGUGCGUAGGCGGGCACUUAAGUCUGGGGUGAAAUCUUGCCGCUUAACGGUAAAAUUGCCUUGGAUACUGAGUGUCUUGAAUCUGGUAGAGGUUGGCGGAAUUUGUGGUGUAGCGGUGAAAUGCAUAGAUAUCACAAAGAACACCGGUGGCGAAGGCGGCCAACUGGGCCAGUAUUGACGCUGAGGCACGAGAGCGUGGGGAGCAAACAGGAUUAGAUACCCUGGUAGUCCACGCCGUAAACGAUGUGUGCUAGUUGUUGGCCCUUCGGGGUCAGUGACGCAGUUAACGCAGUAAGCACACCACCUGGGGAGUACGUUCGCAAGAAUGAA
rnacentral:rRNA from 1 species